GAUUAACGCUGGCGGUGCGCCUAAUACAUGCAAGUCGAACGAGGAGUUUUUUGUAGCAAUACUGAAAACUUCUAGUGGCGAACGGGUGAGUAAUACGUUGGUAACCUUCCUCGAAGUGGGGAAUACCUCCGCGAAAGCGGGGUUAAUACCGCAUGAGAAUGGGGGGACAUAAGUCAUUCCCAUUUAAAAUCGUAAGAUGCUUCGAGAAGGGCCUGCGGCCCAUCAGCUUGUUGGUGAGGUAACGGCUUACCAAGGCUAUGACGGGUAGCUGGUGUGAGAGCAUGACCAGCCACAGUGGGACUGAGACACGGCCCACACUCCUACGGGAGGCAGCAGUAGGGAAUCUUCCGCAAUGGGCGAAAGCCUGACGGAGCGACACCGCGUGAAGGAUGAAGGUUUUCGGAUUGUAAACUUCUUUUCUGGGAGAACAGUAUGAGUGUAUCCUA
rnacentral:rRNA from 1 species